rnacentral:rRNA from 1 species
UCCAGCGGUCUCAAGCGUUGUUCGGAUUCAUUGGGCGUAAAGGGUGCGUAGGUGGCGCGGUAAGUCGGGUGUGAAAUUUCGGAGCUUAACUCCGAAACUGCAUUCGAUACUGCCGUGCUUGAGGACUGGAGAGGAGACUGGAAUUUACGGUGUAGCAGUGAAAUGCGUAGAGAUCGUAAGGAAGACCAGUGGCGAAGGCGGGUCUCUGGACAGUUCCUGACACUGAGGCACGAAGGCCAGGGGAGCAAACGGG